GCCAAUGAGGCCAUCACACGACAAGCGACUGCCACGUUCGCCGCCGGAGCCGGCUUUUCGGAGAUUCUCGUCGGGCGAUCUUCCCAUUUCACCGCUUGGCACAAGUUUGAUCGGAAGGGGGCUUGCAGUGUUUUCAUCAUGAGGUUGAUUCUGUCACUGUGCGUUUUGUUCGUGUCUGCAUAUGCAGCGAUCGAGGAAGACGAAGGAGUGUUGGUUCUUACCAACGACAACUUCGACGAAGCGAUCAGUGGUCAUGAGUUCAUUCUUGUGGAAUUCUACGCCCCGUGGUGUGGACACUGCAAAGCCCUCGCCCCCGAGUACGCCAAGGCGGCCCAGGCGCUGGCCAAGGAGGAGUCAAACGUGAAGCUGGCCAAGCUGGACGCCACCGUGCACGACAAGGUGGCGCAGAAGUUCGGUGUGCGCGGCUACCCCACCCUCAAGUUCUUCCGCAACGGCAAGGACAGCGAGUACGGCGGCGGACGCACAAAGGACGAGAUCGUCAACUGGCUGAAGAAGAAGACUGGCCCGCCGGCGACCAACGUUGAGACUGUCGAGGCCGCUGAGAAGGCCAUCGAGGGCAAGGACGUCGUCAUCGUCGGCUUCUUCAAGGACCAGGAGAGCAAGGAUGCCAAGGCUUUCCUCAGCUUCGCCGGCGGCGUCGACGACUACCCCUUCGUCAUCAGCUCUGCCGACGAUGUCAUCAGCAAGUACGAGGCGGCCGACGGCAAGGUCGUCAUGAUCAAGACCUUCGACGAGAAGCGUCAUGAGCUUGAGGGAGACAUCAACGAUGACAACCUGAAGGCCUUCAUCGCCAAGUACUCUCUGCCCCUGGUGGUUGAGUUCAACCAGGAGACCGCUCAGAAGAUCUUCGGCGGCGAGAUCAAGGCGCACCUGCUGAUGUUCCUGAGCAAGAAGUCUGAAGAUUUCGCCAAGCACACAGAGGCCGCCUCCGCUGUGGCUAAGGAGCAGCGCGGAAAGAUUCUGGUCGUCUCCAUCGACACGGACGAGGAGGAUCACGCCCGCAUCAUGGAGUUCUUCGGCAUGAAGGCCGAGGAAGUGCCCGCCCUGCGCAUCAUCAAGAUGGAGGAAGACAUGACCAAGUACAAGCCGGAGAAGACCGGUCUUGAGGAGGCCACCAUUCGCUCCUUCGUGGAGGACUUCCUGGCUGACAAGCUGAAGCAGCACCUGCUGAGCCAGGACCUGCCAGAGGACUGGGAUAAGGCCGGCGUCAAGGUGCUCGUCUCCAGCAACUUCGACGAGGUGGCGCUGGACAAGACGAAGGACGUGCUGGUCGAGUUCUACGCGCCGUGGUGCGGACACUGCAAGCAGCUGGUGCCCAUCUAUGACGAGCUGGGUGAGAAGUACAAGGACUCUGAGACGGUGGUAAUUGCCAAGAUGGACGCCACUGCUAACGAGCUGGAGCACACCAAGAUUCAGAGCUUCCCCACCAUCAAACUGUGGAAGAAGGAGACCAACGAGAUAGUCGAGUACGGCGGUGACCGCAAACUCGAGAGUCUGGUCAAGUUCGUCGAGUCGGGCGGCGUGGAGGGCAAGGCUACCGAGUCCGAGGCAGAGGCAGAGGACGAGGAGGAGGCAGAGGGAGGAGAGGUAGAGCAGCGAGAGUGACGGGGUUCACAGGACGCAGCGCCAGAGUGCAGAGUUGCCGUGCAGCACUACAGGCUACAGCUUUAGUAGCCGCCGCUGUGACCUGACCUGACCUCACACCGCCAACCGGUGGUGCCGCUGUGUAUGUGUGCUGUGCCGCUUCCCCACCCCUGGGAACCCCCGCUUAGUGUGCUCCACUAGUGCUCCAGUGUGUUCUUGGCGAACGCUGAGCACCGCUUUCCUUGGUUGUAGGUCGUAGACUACAACGGCGAGCGAACUCUGGACGGAUUCACUAAGUUCCUCGAGGGCAAACAAGAAGAGGAGGGCGAGGAGGAGGAGGAAGAAGAGGAAGAGGAUGAGGGAAAGCACGACGAGUUGUAGAUCUCCUUCAGCCGCGUGAGGCCGCCUGUGAGAGCGGCCUUCUUUCCUUUCUUCCCGGAAAGCUGCGUACGCCAGCCGCAAAAGGCCUAUUUUUGAUACGUUGGCUGGCAGCCCGGUCCGCGGCCACUGGACGUGGUCUGCUAAAGAGUGGGGGCAGGGACUGGGGACGUGAAUUUGAUCUGUGCAACGUUCAUUAUGGGGGUGGUCUCGUCCACCAGUGACACAGGGCAUAUUUUGUAACAGAGUGAGAGAAAGAGAGACUGCUGGUUUUUUGUUUUGCACCGCUGGUUGCUUGUUGUCUACUUCCGUUGGCGGGCCCUUUCCACAGAGUUUUUACACGCGCAUGCGUAGAAUUCCGGUGUCUGUGACUGCGGCGUCGGUGGUUUUAUUCGUGUUGUGUGUAGAAUAUUUAUGAGACGGGCCGCUGUGCGGCGGAUGUCUGGUUGAGGGCGUCUGAUACGACCCCGUCGAGUCACAACUCGGCCGAUAAAUCCCCAUGGGCUCCCUGUCCGCGGAGUGAAAUUUAUACCAUCGUUCGGUGCGGAUUUACACUAAAUGUGCAGUUCGUCUUUCAAAUUCUGCGCCGGCGUCGCCGCCCGCCGCGGCUGCCCCGCGCGGGAAUUCCUUCACCGGGUGAAGCGAUUUCUUGUGUUUGUGAAGAGAUUCCGUCACGUGGAGAGGGUUUUUGGUGCGUGGCAGCGCGCGCGGCGGACGGCAGUGCCGGCGGGCGCUCGUUUGGGUGAACCUGCACGGUGCGAUGGGUGACCAGAUGUUUUCCGAACUCCUGUUGGCUCAGCGACGAAUACAUGGCGACUAAAGGUGAA
rnacentral:misc_RNA from 1 species